rnacentral:lncRNA from 1 species
AUGAUAAUCACAUCAGUAUUUUAAACAAUGAUACCAUAUGUAUUUUUCCCCCCUUCUCCUUGCACGCGUUUUUCUCUACAAUAUUAUCAACUUAAGUCAUUUGUAGGGUUGUUGGAAUCAUUGAAAAAGAAAGAAUUUGAUUGGUUGAAAGAGAUUAUAUGAAAAAGGAAUAAAACACGUUGUUAGCAUUGCAUCUUCUAAACAUAUUUUCCACAGUAAUGUUUUAAUCAUCAGCAAAGGAACUUUCCUUUUCUGCUCUCUCACGUGCAUCAUCAUCAUGCCGAAGAAAGCGUGCCUUUUUUCAUGGGUUUCUAACAACGGAGGUACUGAUGUGUGGAAUUAGGAUUAGGAAAAUUAAUGUAUAUCUUGCCGUUUUUGCGGUUUCUCGUUCUUUAUGGCAAUUAAUCCACCACUCCAAAACCUACUAUCACAUCAACAACUUAUAAGUCUUCAAGAAACAAAAGAUUAAAGGAGACGAAGGAGAAUUAAACGGUUUAAUUUUUCAGUUAAUUUUCAAUUCAUUUCGUGACAAAGUCAUCCUUUAUGGUCAGUGGUCACUAAGAAGUUACGAGGACACUUCCUGUAAUAAUGGGUUUGAUGGUCUCUAACUAACAAUAUAAUUUGUCUUGCAUAAAUUUACAGCAUAUAAUAUGCAUUUAUAAAGUUAUUUAUAGGGAAGUUAUAUAUUAAUAAUAUACAACAAUCUCUCUUCCUUCAUGUGCAAAUAAAUAAAUAAUUUAAGUUAAAGAUAUAUUCUAAACGAUACUCUUUUCAUUGGGUUAGAAUAGAUAUUUACUUUGAACUCUGGAUCUAGCGACAGAUACAAUUGCACCACUCUCAUCUGUAGCUAUUAUAUAUUUGAAGUAAUUUCCAUGGACAUCCAAUGCAUUGAUGGACACCUGCAUACUCUUGCAUAGUGACCUCUCUUACCACCAAGUAACUUCCUCGCGAAGUAAAAGUAUUUCGACCAAAUUUAAGACUAUUUCUUCCUUACACUUAGAUUGUGUUGACAGAUUUUUCUUUAUCUAAAUGGUUUUACGUCCCCAUGUAAGGAAUAAACAUCUACAGCCUCCUACAAAAGUUAUUUUAGUUUGCAUUUAAUUUAUACACAUGCUAUUUACGAUUUGUUAUAUCCAGCUUGAAUACUGAUAUUUGUAACCAAAGUUUUAUAUUAUGACAAUUAAUAU